rnacentral:tRNA from 1 species
UUGGGCUAUCGCCAAACGGUAAGGCACUGGACUCUGACUCCAGCAUCUGUAGGUUCGAAUCCUACUAGCCCAGU